rnacentral:rRNA from 1 species
UACGGAGGGUGCAAGCGUUAUCCGGAUUCACUGGGCUUAAAGGGUGCGUAGGUGGGCUUGUAAGUCAGUGGUGAAAUCUCCGGGCUUAACCCGGAAACUGCCAUUGAUACUAUAGGUCUUGAAUUAUCUGGAGGUCAGCGGAAUAUGUCAUGUAGCGGUGAAAUGCUUAGAUAUGACAUAGAACACCAAUUGCGAAGGCAGCUGGCUACAGGUAUAUUGACACUGAGGCACGAAAGCGUGGGGAUCAAACAGG